ACACUCCUACGGGAGGCAGCAGUAGGGAAUCUUCCACAAUGGGUGCAAACCUGAUGGAGCAAUGCCGCGUGAGUGAAGAAGGUCUUCGGAUCGUAAAGCUCUGUUGUUAGAGAAGAACACGUGCUAGGUAACUACUAGCGCCUUGACGGUAUCUAACCAGAAAGUCACGGCUAACUACGUGCCAGCAGCCGCGGUAAUACGUAGGUGACAAGCGUUGUCCGGAUUUAUUGGGCGUAAAGGGAGCGCAGGCGGUCUGUUUAGUCUAAUGUGAAAGCCCACGGCUUAACCGUGGACCGGCAUUGGAAACUGACAGACUUGAAUGUAGAAGAGGAAAAUGGAAUUCCAAGUGUAGCGGUGGAAUGCGUAGAUAUUUGGAGGAACACCAGUGGCGAAGGCGAUUUUCUGGUCUAACAUUGACGCUGAGGCUCGAAAGCGUGGGGAGCGAACAGGAUUAGAUACCCCGGUAGUCCCAUGA
rnacentral:rRNA from 1 species